rnacentral:rRNA from 1 species
AGCAGCCGCGGUAAUUCCAGCUCCAAUAGCGUAUAUUAAAGUUGUUGCAGUUAAAAAGCUCGUAGUUGAAUUUCAGGCCUGGCUGGACGGUCCGCCCUUCGGGUGAGUACUGUCUGUGGUUGGGUCCUACCUUCUGGCGAAGCGUCAUGGCCUUAACCGGCCGUGGCGGGGAACCAGGACUUUUACUGUGAAAAAAUUAGGGUGUUCAAAGCAGGCAAUCGCUUGGAUACAUUAGCAUGGAAUAAUGGAAUAGGACAAUGGUUCUAUUUGUUGGUUUCUAGGACCGUUGUAAUGAUUAAUAGGGAUAGUUGGGGGCAUUAGUAUUCAAUUGUCAGAGGUGAAAUUCUUGGAUUUAUUGAAGACUAACUACUGCGAAAGCAUUUGCCAAGGAUGUUUUCAUUAAUCUAAGAACGAAAGUUAGGGGAUCGAAGACGAUCAGAUACCGUCGUAGUCUUAACCGUAAACUAUGCCGACUAGGAAUCGGGCGAUGUUGACAAAAUGACGCGCUCGGCACCUCAUGGG